rnacentral:rRNA from 1 species
UACAGGGGGUGCAAACGUUGCUCGGAAUUAUUGGGCGUAAAGCGCGCGUAGGCGGCUACUUAAGUCGGAUGUGAAAGCCCCUGGCUCAACUGGGGAAGUGCACCCGAAACUGAGUGGCUUGAGUAUGGAAGAGGGUCGCGGAAUUCCCGGUGUAGAGGUGAAAUUCGUAGAUAUCGGGAGGAACACCAGUGGCGAAGGCGACUACCUGGCCUGUUUCUUGACGCUGAGGCGCGAAAGCUAGGGGAGCAAACGGG